rnacentral:rRNA from 1 species
GAGUUUGAUCAUGGCUCAGGACGAACGCUGGCGGCACGCCUAACACAUGCAAGUCGAACGGAGAUAUUUUGGUUUACUGAGAUAUCUUAGUGGCGGACGGGUGAGUAACACGUGAGCAACCUGCCUYUGAGAGAGGGAUAGCUUCUGGAAACGGAUGGUAAUACCUCAUAACAUAACGAAGCCGCAUGACUUUGUUAUCAAAGAUUUAUCACUCAGAGAUGGGCUCGCGUYUGAUUAGAUAGUUGGUGAGGUAACGGCUCACCAAGUCGACGAUCAGUAGCCGGACUGAGAGGUUGAACGGCCACAUUGGGACUGAGACACGGCCCAGACUCCUACGGGAGGCAGCAGUGGGGAAUAUUGCACAAUGGGGGAAACCCUGGUGCAGCGAUGCCGCGUGGAGGAAGAAGGUUUUCGGAUUGUAAACUCCUGUCUUAAAGGACGAUAAUGACGU